GACGAACGCUGGCGGCGUGCUUAACACAUGCAAGUCGAACGGUGAAGCGCCUUCCUUUUUGGUGGGUGUGGAUGAGUGGCGAACGGGUGAGUAACACGUGAGUAACCUGCCCCCUUCUUCUGGAUAACCGCAUGAAAGUGUGGCUAAUACGAGAUAUUCUGGGUCUGUCGCAUGAUGGGUCUGGGAAAGAUAUUGUUUCGGUGGGGGAUGGGCUCGCGGCCUAUCAGCUUGUUGGUGGGGUGAUGGCCUACCAAGGCGGUGACGGGUAGCCGGCCUGAGAGGGUGGACGGUCACACUGGGACUGAGACACGGCCCAGACUCCUACGGGAGGCAGCAGUGGGGAAUAUUGCACAAUGGGCGCAAGCCUGAUGCAGCGACGCCGCGUGAGGGAUGGAGGCCUUCGGGUUGGGAACCUCUUUCGCCAGUGAAGCAGGCCUGCCUCGUUUGUGGGUGGGUUGACGGGAGCUGGAUAAGAAGCGCCGGCUAACUACGU
rnacentral:rRNA from 1 species